UACAGGGGCGGCGAGCGUUGCUCGGAAUCACGUGGGCGUAAAGCGUACGCAGGCGGGUCGGUAAGUCCGUUGUGAAAUCCCAGGGCUCAACCCUGGAACCGCCGAUGGAGACUGUCGAUCUUGAGUACGGGAGAGGAGAGCGGAAUUCCUGGUAGUAGAGGUGAAAUUCGGUAGAUAUCAGGAGGAACACCGGUGGGCGAA
rnacentral:rRNA from 1 species